GAUCCUGGCUCAGGAUGAACGCUAGCUACAGGCUUAACACAUGCAAGUCGAGGGGCAGCAUGGUCUUAGCUUUGCUAAGGCCGAUGGCGACCGGCGCACGGGUGAGUAACGCGUAUCCAACCUGCCUUACACUCUUGGACAGCCUUCUGAAAGGGAGAUUAAUACAAGAUGUUAUCAUGAGUAAAGCAUUUUACACAUGAUUAAAGGUUUACCGGUGUAAGGAUGGGGAUGCGUUCC
rnacentral:rRNA from 1 species